CAUCAUGGCUCAGGAUGAACGCUAGCUACAGGCUUAACACAUGCAAGUCGAGGGGCAGCAUGGUCUUAGCUUGCUAAGGCCGAUGGCGACCGGCGCACGGGUGAGUAACACGUAUCCAACCUGCCGUCUACUCCUGGACAGCCUUCUGAAAGGAAGAUUAAUACAAGAUGGCAUCAUGAGUCCACAUGUUCACAUGAUUAAAGGUAUUCCGGUAGACGAUGGGGA
rnacentral:rRNA from 1 species